AUGAAAUAAAACAUGAUUUGGAAUGAUUUAUGCAACCUAAUUGAUGCAAAUUAUGAACAUAUCACGUAAGCAUGAUGGACACUUAUUCAGCAACAACGGUGACCCGACAAAUUUUAAGCUCGGGGAACCGGCCGGUUUUACUUCUUCUCCUUGUUCGGACCCUUCUUGGUCCAUAUUUAAAUUUCGAUUAAUAGGAUCUCCAGGCUGGUCGUCGUUGGCCAUUCCUUGCGUUU
rnacentral:lncRNA from 1 species